rnacentral:SRP_RNA from 10 species
GCUGGGCAUGGUGGCAUGCACCUAUAGUCCCACUUACUCAGAAGGCUGAGGCGGGAGGAUCACGUGAGCCCAGGAGUUCCAGGCCAUAGUGUGCUAUGCUGAUAGGGUGUCCACACCAAGUCUGGCAUCAAUACGUUCACCUCCUGGGAGCAGGGGACCACCAGGUUGCCUAAGGAGGGGCCAACUGGCCCAGGUCAGAAACAGAAAAGGUCAAAACUCCCAUACUGAUCAGUAGUGGGAAUGCACCUGUGAAUAGUCACUGCACUCCAGCCUGGGCAACAUGGCGAGACCCUACCU